rnacentral:rRNA from 1 species
AACGAACGCUGGCGGCAUGCCUAACACAUGCAAGUCGAACGAACCCUUCGGGGUUAGUGGCGCACGGGUGCGUAACGCGUGGGAAUCUGCCCUUUGCUUCGGAAUAACAGUUAGAAAUGACUGCUAAUACCGGAUGAUGUCUUCGGACCAAAGAUUUAUCGGCAAAGGAUGAGCCCGCGUAGGAUUAGGUAGUUGGUGGGGUAAAGGCCUACCAAGCCGACGAUCCUUAGCUGGUCUGAGAGGAUGAUCAGCCACACUGGGACUGAGACACGGCCCAGACUCCUACGGGAGGCAGCAGUGGGGAAUAUUGGACAAUGGGCGCAAGCCUGAUCCAGCAAUGCCGCGUGAGUGAUGAAGGCCUUCGGGUCGUAAAGCUCUUUUACCAGGGAUGAUAAUGACAGUACCUGGAGAAUAAGCACCGGCUAACUCCGUGCCAGCAGCCGCGGUAACAC